ensembl:snRNA U1 U1 spliceosomal RNA
UUACUUACCUGGCAGGGGAGAUACCAUGAUCACCCAGAGCGAGGCUCAGCCAUUGCACUCCGGCUGUGCUGACCCCUGUGAAUUCCCCAAAUGUGGGAAUCUCAACUGCAUAAUUUAGUGAGGGACUGUAUUCACUCUCG